GAACAAGCGGUCGCAGGUCACGAGCUGUGUGGAACCGUGUCACAGGUCACGGGCUGUGUGGAACAAGCGGUCGCAGGUCACGAGCUGUGUGGAACCGUGUCACAGGUCACGGGCUGUGUGGAACAAGCGGUCGCAGGUCACGAGCUGUGUGGAACCGUGUCACAGGUCACGGGCUGUGUGGAACCAUGUCACAGGUCACGAGCUGUGUGGAACCGUGUCACAGGUCACGGGCUGUGUGGAACAAGCGGUCGCAGGUCAGGUGUACUUUGCCCUGAGCACUCACCGGUGGAUU